rnacentral:rRNA from 1 species
GUGUCAGCCGCCGCGGUAAUACGUAGGGGGCUAGCGUUGUCCGGAUUUAUUGGGCGUAAAGAGCGUGUAGGCGGCCAGGUAGGUCUGGUGUGAAAACUCGAGGCUUAACCUUGAGAUGUCAUCGGAAACCAUUUGGCUAGAGUCCGGAAGAGGAAAGUGGAAUUCCUGGUGUAGCGGUGAAAUGCGCAGAUAUCAGGAAGAACACCAAUGGCGAAAGCAGCUUUCUGGGACGGUACUGACGCUGAGACGCGAAAGCGUGGGGAGCGAACAGGAUUAGAAACCCCAGUAGUCC